GAGUGAUUCAUGACUGGGGUGAAGUCGUAACAAGGUAGCCGUAGGGGAACCUGCGGCUGGAUCACCUCCUUA
rnacentral:rRNA from 1 species